GACGAACGCUGGCGGCGUGCCUAAUACAUGCAAGUCGAACGCAGUGGGGACGGGUGAGUAACACGUGGGUAACCUCCCAUCAGAGGGGAUAACACUUGGAAACAGGUGCUAAACCGAUACGGAUGGCUGGACCCGCGGGGCAUUAGCUAGUUGGUGAGGUAACGGCCCACCCAGGCCACGAUGCAUAGCCGACCUGAGAGGGUGAUCGGCCACACUGGGACUGAGACACGGCCCAGAAUCCUACGGGAGGCAGCAGGGGGGAAUCUUCGGCAAUGGGCGAAAGUCUGACGGAGCAACGCCGCGUGUGUGAAGAAGGUUUUCGGAUCGUAAAACUCUGUUGUUAGGGAAGCGGUAUCUACCCAGAAAGCCACGGCUAACUACGUGCCAGCAGCCGCGGUAAUAC
rnacentral:rRNA from 1 species